GAGAGAGAGAGAGAGAGAGAGAGAGAAGCAAAGUGGUCGACCUAGAGUGUAGUCGAUUCUCACCGAGAAGGCCAGUUCCGUCCAAUCGAUGAUUCUAUACGAUUGUGAGGCGGAAGCUCUGUCCAUAUCUAUCCGUCCAGGCCAGACAUAUUCUGUGAUGGUCAAGUGGAGGUUCUGUCCAGAGUUAGUUCACUUCCAUGGGUUCAGAUCAGUCGAAGUUCUGCUAGAUACUCCGCCAGAAAGUCCGAAAAACUGUCCAG
rnacentral:lncRNA from 1 species